AUUGAACGCUGGCGGCAUGCUUUACACAUGCAAGUCGAACGGUAACAGGCCGCAAGGCGCUGACGAGUGGCGAACGGGUGAGUAAUGCAUCGGAACGUGCCCAGUCGUGGGGGAUAACGCAGCGAAAGCUGCGCUAAUACCGCAUACGAUCUAUGGAUGAAAGCGGGGGACCGUAAGGCCUCGCGCGAUUGGAGCGGCCGAUGUCAGAUUAGGUAGUUGGUGGGGUAAAGGCUCACCAAGCCAACGAUCUGUAGCUGGUCUGAGAGGACGACCAGCCACACUGGGACUGAGACACGGCCCAGACUCCUACGGGAGGCAGCAGUGGGGAAUUUUGGACAAUGGGCGCAAGCCUGAUCCAGCAAUGCCGCGUGCAGGAAGAAGGCCUUCGGGUUGUAAACUGCUUUUGUACGGAACGAAACGGCUCUCACUAAUACUGGGGGCUAAUGACGGUACCGUAAGAAUAAGCACCGGCUAACUACGUGCCAGCAGCAGCCGCGGUAA
rnacentral:rRNA from 1 species